UCCCUGGUGGUCCAGUGGCUAAGACUCUGCACUCUAAAUGCAGGAGGCCCGGGUUUGAUCCCUGGUCAGGGAA
rnacentral:tRNA from 1 species